rnacentral:rRNA from 1 species
GCUCCAAUAGCGUAUAUUAAAGUUGUUGCGGUUAAAAAGCUCGUAGUUGGAGUUCUGCCAGGUGACGCUCGUCCGCCAAGUGGUGUGUACAGGGCGUGCAUCUGGCCUUUCAAGGGGAACGUGUCUGCACUUCAUUGUGUGGUGCGAGAUCCUUGACUUUUACUUUGAGUAAAUUAGAGUGUUCAAAGCAGGCCACCGCU